UGAAGAUUGGGCAGUUUGACUAAUGGACAUCUAGUGGAUUAUCUCCUGCUUCUUGAGCUCUGUGGAGCAAGAGGAUCAUCAGAGAGUGGACUUGAAACCCCACAGAUGGCUGAACAUCUAAGGGUCAGUUCUUGGGACCUAAGAGAGGCUGUGUGAAUACAAACUGUAUAUGUCUACCCCAGCUAAGAAGCUAAUGUCCAAAGAGGCGCUGGUGAAAAGAACAGUCUCUUUGGAAGAAAUCCCUGUGCCAGACAAACCCAUGGUAAGAAUUGCCAUUGUCUCUGGCCCAAUAAUCCAGUACAGUGCAGGAAGGACUGCAGAGAUGAGAGCUUCAGCCCAUCUUCAGACUGGCAGAGGAAAAAAGGGGCAUGGCUAUAGAUCUCUGGUGCGUGAAAUGUUCAAAAAGGGCCAUAAAGCUUGAGCAGUCAGAAAUGAAAGCCUGAAAGACUUCUGCGGUUUAUUUCCUGUCCUGUUUUUCUGAAGUCCCAUCCCUCUCUACAAGGAGCCACAACCACAGAGACAUCCAUAUCCAUCCGUAAGACUGAUGCUUGUCAGGGAUGCCUGCAGUCAGCCCAAAUGUGAGAUGGCCUAAUCCUCUAAUUAUAGAUGACUCCAGUAGCAACGGGUGCUCUGAGCCCCCAGCCAGGAUCACAAGAGACACAAUCCUGGCUCCUUCAGGUAAAUCCUGUGAUUACCCAGCACAGGAAAAGGGCGGGAUCUGAAGGGUUCUUUAUUGAAGCCCACAUGGGCACUGACUUUCUGAAACCUGCCUUCCCAGGCCCCGCAUGGGGCCCAUCAGCUUAGUCUUCCUUUGCCAUGCGACCUGGAACUUGCUGCUCAGCCUCUCAACCCAUCGGCAGUGUGAGCCGCGAUUAAUUAGCUCUGAGUGUUUAAUGCAGUGUGACACACUGUGGCUGGGACUUUGAAUCUAAUUCUACCACUUACCAGGUCUUUUAACUUCCAGAGGAACCUCAUGAAGUUGGCAUUGGCACAACACAACUAGACAAUGGCUGUUCUUAGAACUAAAUUCAUUCAUUAUAUACUGAGGGGAGCUCACCUGGUUCAGGGCAAGAGAAGUCUCCAGAAGCACAACAGCUGGGUCACAGAGUCUGCAUGUGUAAGCUGGACAGUCAUUGCUAAAAUACCUUCUAUCAAUGGUACUUCAACGUGUGUUUUCACUGCUCCAGACUCUCACAGUAGAUUACAGUGUAAACCUUUCAGAUUUUCCUGACUUGAUAAUUAAACAUGCUAUCUCUGUAUAGUUCCCAUGUACAUAUUUCUUACUAUGAGAAACACUUUUCUCAUGUGACUGAGACAUUUGAGUUAUUUUUCUGAGAAUUUAUAUUUUGAGCUCUUCCAUUUUGCCCAUAUCUUUUUUUCAUGGUCUUUUUUCAAUGAUUUCUAGGAGUUACUUCUUAUUAAUAUCUGGGUGUUUAAUGUAUUGCAAAUAUUUUAUAGCAUUUUUCUAGUUUGCCCUUAAUAUUUUGGCUUUAUGCUUUUUCUGUGCAGAAUUAUCUCUUUAUUCUUAUGGAGCCAUUUUUCUUAUCUCUUUUAAGGUUUCUAGAUUUUGAGUCUUACAAAGUCAUUCUCACCCCAAGGUAAUACAUUCUCAUGUGUUUUUCUACUAUUGUUAAUUUUUAUUAUUAUGCUUACAUCAUUGAUAUAUUUGGAAUUUAUCUGGAAGUAUAAUGUAAAAUUCAAAUUUUCUUUAGGGAGCUACCCAAUUUGCUAAUAGAAGUUAUUGAUUAAUGUAUGUUUAGCCAGAGAGGAGUCAAACUUCUCAUACAUUAAAAUUCUAUUUGUACUUGCAUCUAUUACUGGAGUCACCAUUAUGUUCCAUUGUUUUGUCAUUACCAUACUAUUCACUUUUAGUUAUUGAAUUAUUUUGCAUUUUAAUAUUUCUUAAGGGUAGCACACCCCCAAUGAUAUUUUGUUGAGAAUUUUUCUGGCUAUUUUUUGCUUAUAUAUUAUAUGAAUUUUAGAAUCAACUAGCCUCAUUUUAAACACU